AUUUUAACAUAUCACUUCCUAAUAAUAAGUAAUGUUUAAGCAACAAAAACUGAUUACUUAGCUUGUCAGGUUGGAAAAGUAUGAGUAUUCCCUGAAGAGUGUCCUAUUACUAACAUAAAUUCAGUACAAUCUGGGUGUCUGUUAAUACUCAUUUUAGGGAGAAUGGUAUGUUUGAUGGCUUUGUUAAGAGGAAUUUGAUUAAGGUAACGUCUACUGAAGUAAUAAUCAAAUAAUCAACCCAAGUGCAACAGUGACUAGGGACACUGUAAGUCCACAUUCUGUGAAUUUUUCUAAACCUAAUUUGUUUCCUGAUUCAUUAUAUUCAAGGAUGCCCAAAUAUUUCAAGAAGCUAAAUCAGAAAUAGGAAAUACACACACAUAUGUGUGUGUGCAUGCGUGCAUGUGAAGCACAACUCAUAGACUAUUUCUGUUCAAUAUAAUUUUUAAAAGACAAUAGAGAAUAAGUCACAAGUCAGAUCUAUAGUAUGUGGGUAAAAAAUUGUUGAUAUAUCUUGGAAUUCAGGAUGCAUUAUACACACAGACACACAUACACUUAGUACUUUCUAUAAGGCAGCAGGUUAUGUUUUUACAGUGCUUAGAAAAGGUAGCUUAUGCUGGGCUCAUAUCUGAAUUAUCACUGUGCUGUCAGGUUAAGAACUGAGUAGUCAUGAGGAAAAGGUCUUGGGCAUCCAAAUUACAAAGCUACAUUUGACACCCCAACCCUGGCACUAUACCUUCGCAUACAUCCAGUAUUUAUUUCUCCACCUGUAUCUGAGUAAAACGUGUUUUCCAAUUUUUUAUUCAUAUAAGCUUUGAAAAAGGCUGAAUUCAGUCGCUUUCCCCAUGAACUCAAAUGUAAAGGACAGUGUCCCAAUAGCCGGGUUCUUUUCUAUCUUUGCUCCCAAUAGGACUGAACAGAUGCCUGAGCUUUUUCCACACAAAAUACUCAGAAAAAGAAUAUGGUAUCAUAAUAUGAAAAGAAGCCACCUUUCAUAAAAAAGUGAAUUAUUGAAUCAGGAUUAGAUUUGGGAAUGUAAUCAAUUUGGCUCUGAUUGCCUAUACUUCUAGCUUCUUUUUCAAGGGGUCUAUGCUUAACCCAUCUGACUUGUAGUGUUUCCCCCAAUGUUCUCUAAUGAUUUGAUGGUACCAAGUCAUAGAUUUAGGUCUUUCAUCCAUUUUGACUGGAUUUCCAUGUAAGUGUUAAGGUAGGGUUCUAGUUUUAUACUUCUGCAUGUGGAGACCCAAUU
rnacentral:lncRNA from 1 species